rnacentral:lncRNA from 1 species
GUAUUUUUAACGUAAAUUUGUGUUUUCUUGUGAUGAGCAAAAUGUCAAUGAAAAUGAAUGUUCGAAAUAUGCAAGUACGACUUGGUAGGCUUGGUUUUUUGUAUGAUUUUUUGUUUGUGCUUAAACUUAAAACAUUUCAUUUUUGUUCACUUGGCUUCAAUUAUUUUGCCUAUUAUUAGUUAUAGCAUUUAUGCUUCAUAAAAUGUUGUGCAUGUAACUGGAUUUUUAUGAUAUGUUUGAUAGAAAUUAAACUAAUCCUUUCCCUUAUUAUUAUUCUUUAUGUUCUUUUUUAUGUUAAUUUUCUUACCCUGAUUAAGUUUACGCAUGGUUUCUCUUUUUAUUUUGGACACAUCUCUGAUUAACUAGUCAUGAUAUAUUAAAAUUAUAUUGUCAACUAUAUCUUACCUAAAUUUGAUGACCAGCUUAUUCAAAUUAACGCUUGGACGGUGCAAUAAUUGAUAGAUUUUGUCUAGUUGAAAAUGAAUACUAGCAUGAUUUAUUUUUAAGAAAAGCUAAUAAGCAAUCAUUUUGAUGGCAAAAUUUAUGCAUUUACAAACUCUUUUAGUACUAUUUUUUCCUCUUCUAUUAUUGAUUCUUUUUGGUGUUUUAGAUAGUCAAACGAGGAAUUCUUAAUUCAACAAUUUUGCAAUAUUGUGCUAUGAAUGCUUAAGACAAAAGGAAAGAAACAAUAUUAACGAACUCUUUAAUAUAUUUUACUCCUUUAUCAAUUUGGUGGUUUAGAGGUCAAAAGUACAAUUCUCGACAAUUCACUUUAGUAGAGAAUUGCAUCACGGUGAACUGUCGUUCUCGGCAGUUAACUGUAGUAAUUCUCGAUAGAUGGUUGAAUAUCGACAAAUGAGUUGAAUCAUCUGUUGAGAUUAACUAUCAUUCUCGAUAAAGAAUUUUUCAAAACUGACAAUCACAGUCAGUUUUUCUUGACACAUAAUAGUUUCUUGAUAGAUUAAUUUGAUAGUCAUCUAUCCACGUCCAAUUUUGGUUAAUCAGAACAUUACACGUGUUUAACAUUAAUAUGUAUGAAAUAUUACGAUUUGAUCUUUUUUUGAUUUGUUGUUAUACCUUGGUCCACAUGUCCAAAUAACGAGCCCAAAGUGCCGUGCUCGAACAACAAUGUUCUUUCAACUUGUGGCAUGACGGAGGUGGACGAUAAGUUUUAUAUUGGAAAAGUUAUACUAUGUCCAAAAUCCGAGUGUAUAAUAUAAGUAUGUUGAGUGCAAAGCUACUGUUGAAUUCUGAUCAUAGUCUAAGUGUAGAUGGUAGAACAAUGUUGGAUGACGCUGUACACUAGUAUGCUUUUGACGUCUACUGACAUGGUCCUACCUGAAGGUAAGUUCACACCAUCGGAUUCAUAAUAUUGAUUUUAGAUAGCUGAGCAGAUAAUUCGAUGUUCAUAUGCUAUGUUAUGUUAUUAUUUGGCAUUUCAAAAAAAUAAUUCGGCCCAUACUACUUUUGCAAAGGCGAUGUCACUGAAUUGCGGUGGUGGCCAUAAUACCCGUCGAAUGCAAUGAUGUUAUUAACACAAAGAGAUGACUAUUGACACACAUUUGAGUUUCUGCAGUAUCUACC